AUUCUUUCUCGUGACUGCUUUGUGCGAUAACAGUUCUUUUUGAGAGUCGACACAGCAAACGAUGCCAACCCUCCUUCAAUUUGUCUCUAUUCCCUACAUCAAGAGCAUCCUUCUCUGAACUGAAAGUAUUGCAGAACAUAUGUCGGGAAUGCAUCUUGGUUCAGUUCUUUACAAGAGAUGAAGUUCAGAA